rnacentral:rRNA from 1 species
GUCCACGCUGUAAACGAUGGAUACUUGGUGUUGAAGGUAUUGACCCCUUCAGUGCCGGAGCUAACGCGUUAAGUAUCCCGCCUGGGGAGUACGGUCGCAAGAUUAAAACUCAAAGAAAUUGACGGGGGCCCGCACAAGCGGUGGAGAAUGUGGUUUAAUUCGAUGCAACGCGAAAAACCUUACCUGGGUUUGGCAUCCUCUGAACGCCGUAGAGAUACGGAAGGCCCGAAAGGGACAGAGAGACAGGUGCUGCAUGGCUGUCGU